GUUGGUUCCCGGUGGAAGGAAGGUGGGUCCCACGCAGGCCACCCCGGCGCCCUCUCGGCACUGCUGAAGGACCCGUCAUCGCCUCCGUCUGGUGCCUGCGAAUUCAGUCCCCCUUCCACGGCAGAGGCCACCGCCCAGCCCUCUCUGAUUCAAAGGACAGGCAGAAGCAGCUCAGAACUGCCACCUCCAGGUAAACGUGCUGAAAGGCGGGGACCGGGAAGGCGGCUGCGUUUGGUCGGGAUGGCAAAGCGGCUCAGCGACAGGCACCCGAGGAGCCGCGUCAGAACAGGACCCGGGGUUGUCAGGGCCCAAGAAGAGGGGGUGGUCCUGCGAGCCACUGCUUCCUGCGCGUGUCAGUGCCCUUCGGAAAGGAGCUCCGCCGUGGAGUCGGCCUCCCGGUUCCAAAGGUCUCCGGCCAAAUUAUUUGGGCCCUGUUCCAGGACGCAUGAGGGUCAGUCGCCUGCGCUGGAGACAGGUGCGCCCCCCGCCCUUUCCUCCGCCAGAGAAACACCCUGUGUCUGUGCCCCCUCUCUCUUCCGUGAUCAAUUGAAUUCAGCAACUAGAUUUUCACUUUGGCUUCCCGCCUGGAUUUUGAGGAACCUAAGGUUUCAUCCCGUUUUCAUCCUUCUUAAGAAGCAGCCUACUCUGCCAUUUCACCCUUUCCCCGGACCCCAGCUGCAGUGGCGAUGAGAUGCGCUAAAUGCGGAAAACACUGCCGGAGAGCAGGGUCUCCAUACAGUGAGUGGCCCUCCUUCCACCCCUCCUUCAGGAUUUCACAUCUGCUUAGCCUCUAAGACUUCUAAAAUUCAUCUCUAGUCAACUCUGGAACUUCCCCCUACCUUCCAUUCACUGAAUUGCCUCUCCCCAAAAGAUGUGUUGAAGUCCCCCCUCCUCCAUCUGCAAACCCGACCUUAAUGUUGAAAAGGGACCUCUGCAGAGCGGUUGUAUGGAGAUUAGUUAUCACUAACAUGACUGUUGUCUUCUCAGGAGAAACAGUGCCACACGAUGCAAAUAACACAAAACAGAGGGACAUGAGAAGAUGGAUGUGAGGACUUGAGGUGUGCAGCCACAAGCCCAGGAAUGCCCAGGGCCACCAGGCUGGAAGAGGCAGGAAGGGUCCUGCCCUAGAGGCUGUGGAGGGAGCACAGCCCUGCCCACACCUGGAGUUGGGACUUCUGUCCUCCAGAACUGUGAGAGACUACACUUCUGUUGUUUUAAAUCAUCCAGUUUGUGGUAAUUUGUUAUAACUCUAGAAAAUUAUUAUAUGCCUCUAGUCCUGACCAACAGGGUCUCUUUCUCAGUCCAGCAUUACUGCUAGAUGGUUUCUUUUCUGAUAUGUCCUUUCCAUGACAGCCAGAGUGAUCUUCCUCCAACUCAAGCCAGUCAUUUGCGGUGCUGCUCAGCUUCCUAUCACUAUGACAAAAUAUGGGAGAUAAAUACUUUAGAAGGAGAUUUACUUUGGCGCACAGUGUCAGAAGUGUCAGUCCAUGUGGCCUGGGCCUCUUGCUUUGGGCCUGUGGAGGGGCAGUAUGUCAUGGCAGGGAGCAUAAGACAAAGCAAAGAUGUUCACCUUGGGGCUGGGGAUGUGGCUCAAGUGGUAGCGCGCUCGCCUGGCAUGUGCGGGACACUGGGUUCGAUCCUCAGCACCACAUAAAAA
rnacentral:lncRNA from 1 species